rnacentral:rRNA from 1 species
UACGAAGGGGGGCUAGCGUUGCUCGGAAUCACUGGGCGUAAAGCGCACGUAGGCGGCUUACUAAGUCAGGGGUGAAAUCCUGGAGCUCAACUCCAGAACUGCCUUUGAUACUGGUGAGCUUGAGUCCGGAAGAGGUGAGUGGAACUGCGAGUGUAGAGGUGAAAAUUUCGUAGAUAUUCGCAAGAACACCAGUGGCGAAGGCGGCUCACUGGUCCGGUACUGACGCUGAGGUGCGAAAGCGUGGGGAGCAAACAGG